UACAGAGGGUGCAAGCGUUGUUCGGAAUUACUGGGCGUAAAGCGCGUGUAGGCUGCGGAGUAAGUCGGAUGUGAAAUCUCUUGGCUUAACCAAGGAAGUGCAUCCGAUACUGUUUCGCUUGAGUGUCGGAGGGGAUGGCGGAAUUCCCGGUGUAGAGGUGAAAUUCGUAGAUAUCGGGAGGAACACCUGUGGCGAAGGCGGCCAUCUGGACGACAACUGACGCUGAGACGCGAAAGCGUGGGUAGCAAACAGG
rnacentral:rRNA from 1 species